rnacentral:lncRNA from 1 species
CUGAUCCCAGGUGCCCUGAGCCAAUCCUACAGAAAGUCCUUGCCUUCCUGAAGGAAGACCCUCAAAAGCUGAACCUAAUCAUGCCUGACACCUCCAGGAGGUCUGGCAGCUGUAUGCAGGAUGGGACCAUGGGAAUUCCCACUGGAGAGAACAGAAGGUGGAAUGGGCAGCAUGGGAAGCCUGGGCUGCUGGGGAGGACCAACAGAUGCUGCAGGUAUUUGGCGUUGGAGGUGCUCAGGCUUCACACCAUCCAUCCCAGCCCCCAAGAAAAGGGGUCACCAUGAGGCGGGGGACGGCUGGAACACCCCUCCCCACAGAGAAAAUGGCAGAGAGAUUCCAGCCUGGGACCAGACACCUUUCCCCACGAGCCAUCCAGGUGCUCCAUGGGCUGGAGCCACAUCAGACACGAAGGAACAUCUUCAUGUUUUUGGCUGAGAACAACCGACGGCGGCAGGAGCAGCAGAGGCAGUUCUUC